GACAGAGGGUGCAAACGUUGUUCGGAAUUACUGGGCGUAAAGCGCGUGUAGGCGGCCCUGCAAGUCGGAUGUGAAAUCCCACGGCUCAACCGUGGAAGUGCAUUCGAAACUGCAGGGCUAGAGUCCUGGAGAGGAAGGUGGAAUGCUUGGUGUAGAGGUGAAAUUCGUAGAUAUCAAGCGGAACACCGGUGGCGAAGGCGGCCUUCUGGACAGUGACUGACGCUGAGACACGAAAGCCAGGGGAGCAAACGGG
rnacentral:rRNA from 1 species